rnacentral:rRNA from 1 species
UGGGGAAUCUUGCACAAUGGGGGAAACCCUGACGCAGCGACGCCGCGUGAGGGAUGAAGGCCUCUGGGCUGUAAACCUCUUUUCUCAAGGAAGAAGACCUGACGGUACUUGAGGAAAAAGCCACGGCUAACUACGUGCCAGCAGCCGCGGUAAUACGAAGGGCGCAAGCGUUAUCCGGAUUUAUUGGGCGUAAAGAGCUCGUAGGCGGUUUAGCAAGUCGGGUGUUAAACCUCUGGGCUCAACCCGGAG